AAAUACAAAGAGCUGGGAAUGCAGAGAUGAGAAGAAAUCAAGGGGCUUAUAGUUCUGUCCUUGAUCUGAUGGGAUUUGCCUCAAAAGGAAAGCAAGAAUAAUUAAUAACUCAAUGCUUAUGCUUCAGUGGAAAAGACUCAGACACUCAAGUUAUUUCAUUUUCAUAAGAAGGCUUGCCCAAGCUUGAGGAUCUGGUUCCUGAGGUCUUCUUUGAGCCAAGACUCUUGGUGUGAGAUGUAUGAGGACCAGGGUCCACAGAUGAGUCAGUUCUGGAGGCUGGAAGUCCUGGAGUCUAGCAGUUCUUGGAGGCCGGAAGAUCAAGGCGUUGGUGGGAUGAGUUUUUUUCUGAGGCCUCUGUCUUUGGAUCGUAGAUGGCUGUCUUUUCCCUGUGUCUUCACGUGUUCUUCCUUCUGUACCAGUCUGUGUCCUAAUUUCCUCUUCUUCUAAGGACACCAGUCGGAUUGGAUUAGGGUCCACCCUAAUGACCUCAUUUUACAUUAAUCACCUCUUUAAAGAGACUUUCCCCAAAGACAGUCACAUUCUGAGGUACUAGGGGGUUAGGACUUCAACGCUGUAAACCUGGGCUAAAUUUGUAACUGGCUUUGGCCAAUAGACUGCGGCAGAAAUGAGGGUGCCAACUCCCAGCCUAGGCCUCACAAAGCUUGACAUGCAUCUGUUCUCAGACCCUGCCAAUGCCACCAGCAGUGAACCAGCCUAGGCUAGCCCACUGCCCCCAAGAAGCAGAGGAGAAGUCGUCCUAAGUGGGCCAAUAGCCAGCCAACCUCCAAAAGGUGAGGAACACAGCCAAGAUCCAUGAAACGGACGCUCACGUGACUUGAAUGCUGACCACAGACACCUGAGUGAGUCCAGCCCAGCCCAACCCAGAAGAACCACCCAUCCAAACAGCAGACCCACAAGCUAAAUAAACGUUUUCAAGUUUAACCCACUGGGUUUUGUGUGUGUUUGUUAUGUGACAUAUUGUAGUAAAUAACUGAUACACUAGUUCAAAUUAAUUUGUGGCUGCUUAG
rnacentral:lncRNA from 1 species